UAGCUGAGGCAGGAAAUUCUUACGAGAGCUUCAAUUCGUGUGUUUGGCGUUUGGCUCCGAAAUAUUUAUAUUGUGGCAUCCGAACAGUGGAAAUAGCCGCAUAUAUUGCUGCAGGAUUAUUCAACGAAGGCUAUUUCGCCGUUUUAAAAAUUAUGGACACAUUAGAACUAAAAAUCGGUACCCAUUGUAAGGAGUAUGCAGACUCGUAUGACGCCGCGCGAAUACGGCAACAGGAGUGACGAAGCCUCAGUAGCUCGAAAGAAGCUCGAACUGCUCGCAAAGAACUGAAUUUACAACAGCAGCAAUUAUACGAGGAUGCAGAAGGCCUACUAUAUGGCCCUGGAAUCGCCGAUUAGGACUACCAUUACAGCGGAUGCUAGACUGCACACCGUUUGACGCCUGCGACGCCGAAGCCGCUGAAGGCGGCGUCCAUACCUAUAUCUAUAUAUAUGUUUUUUUUAACCAAAAAAA